GACGAACGUUGGCGGCGUGCUUAAUACAUGCAAGUCGACUGAAGCAGUGGUAGCAAUAUCGCUGUGGAGGUGGCGCACGGGUGAGUAACACGUAGGUAAUCUGCCUUCAGGUCUGGCAUAACUCCGGGAAACCGGGGCUAAUAGCAGAUGAUGCAGCGGCUCGACAUCGAGACAGUUGUUAAAGCUAUGGCGCCUGAAGAUGAGCCUGCGUCUGAUUAGCUAGUUGGCGGGGUAACGGCCCACCAAGGCAACGAUCAGUAGCUGGUCUGAGAGGAUGAUCAGCCACACUCGAACUUAGACACGGCCCAGACUCCUACGCGAUGCAGCAGUAAGGAAGAUUGCUCCAUGGUAGAAAUACUGAAGCAGCUACGCCGCGUGAGGCGCGCAGGCCUUUUGCUUGUAUACCUCUGUAGUAAAAGAAAAAAAUCCCAAUCUUUGCGACAUGACGGUAACUAAAUUGUAAGCCCCGGCUAACUACUUG
rnacentral:rRNA from 1 species